UUUAUAUUAGUUGAAGCCAAAAUAGAGGCCUA
rnacentral:tRNA from 1 species